GAUCAAAGCUGAGGAUGCCCCUCCUGGUUUCUCACUCAAAGGACUGUUAAUGGAAUCUCCAUUAAAUUGUCUUUGAUCUAAUGAAUAAGAGAUCAUUAUUCCAAUUUCCCAUUUAUAGAACAGAUGCAAUAAUGCUUUCUCAAUUACCUCUGAAGUAAAGCAAAUUUAAAAAACUGUGAUUGAAAUUUUGCACUCAUUAAAUUCGUACAUAUAUGUAUACCUGUGUAAUGAUAUAUGUGUAUGUUAACUUCCUUGAAACUUCAGUAUUGGCUAUGUAUAUGCAUUUCUAGAAACACAGGCUUCCAUUCAACAGAUGGAGAUAUUCUGCCAGCUGAUAAAGUAUUGAGUAUCCAGAGAACUAUUUGGAAAAAUGUUGGUUCAUCAUAAGGUUCCUGUACAGAAUAUGAACCAGUCUGGUGUUGGUGAGCCAAAUAGGAAUUUGCUGUGGCAGCCCUGGGCUUGUUUAUAUACACACAGUGGUCUUGAAAUAGUUACUGGAUGUUAAAGAAAGCUCCCAAACUGUAAUGACGACAUUGGCUCUCCUCCUGAAGGAACCAGCAAGUUCAUCUACCAUCAACUACAAAGUGAUCCUGUGUUCCACCACUACACAGCUUGGUGGUCUGCAAUGCCAGUACAGGAAAUAUGGGGAAAAUAUACUGGAUCUUUUUCAGUGCAAAUUAAUAAAACACUCUAAAUGUGUGAUUGAAAUUAGCCUUUAUCUGAAGACCUAGAAGGAUCACUUUUAAAAUGAUUGCUCAAAUCUGUUGAAAGAGAAGUUUCUGCUCAAGAGUAUAUCUGAAAUAGAAAUUGGUACAAGGCAUUACAGAAAUACUGAGAAAUUGAGAGGUUUUCAGAGUAUCAGGCUAUUAAAAAAAAAAAAAGUCACUGAAUCACAGAAGGCUAAAUAUUCCCCAGCUUAGCAUUGCCCAAGUAAAAAAUUAAUAAUCAGUCUCUCAACAGUUGUAUAAUGUACCCUUCCUGAAGGACUGGGGAGGGUCCAGGAGACUGUAUGUCUAAUUUUGUUGAAAUCAAACUUUAAAGUCAGGUAUUUAAGAGGUUAGUAACUGUUAAAAUUAGAAAUUCUUUUCUAUUAAAAAUUUUUCGCUGUAUUGAGCUUUAAUGUAACAGUUGCACAUAUGACCAAACAAAUGACUCAUGCUUCACUGCUAUUUACCUUUUCAACAAUAUAUUGUCAUGAGUUACAAUACCUCCAGUACAUGCAGUUGUAUGAAUCUGUCAUUAACACUAUAGCAAUUAUGAAGUAAAUAUGAACAGCAGUCAUUGAAAACCUCUCUUCAUUAUCUUGAUGUUUUUGAUCCUGAAAAAUUGCAUUUGGGAAUAUUUUUUUUUAAUAUAUAAAACACCAUCUAAUAGCUGGAAAAUAUUUUUAAGUUCCUUUCAACUGCAGGUUAGAAGAUAAUCACCUUUUGGGAGCAUGCAUUGGCAUUCAACGUGGUCAAAAUGAAAUACCACUGUUAGUUCUUUUGGCAGCUGAAGAAAAAAGUGAUUCAAAGCUUUUGUUACAACACUGAAGAUUAAGUGAUCACAUCUGUUGCGUAGCUUUUGAAGGAUGCAGCAUACAUUCAGGCAAUUAGUUAGAAGCCUUUUUUUUUUUUUCCAUUAACUUGCAGGCAGAGUAGUCUCUAAAGUGUGUUAUCAGACUUAAGAGUUACAAGUGAUGUUAUCAAAGUUCAAGUCACUUAAUUACAGCAUAACUUUAACUUGCUCAAAUACCCCUAGUGCAGUUUCCUUGCUGUCUAAAAUAAUCAAGCAGAUAAUGGAUUUCACACUAAUGGAAACUGUCAGAAACAUUUUAAGGCAUUAAUGACAAUAGGCAUAUUAUGUCCUUGAACUCAUUUCAUCUGAAGGAGAAAUAUGUUUUGCCCUUAGCAGUUCCAUCUUCAGAAUGAAUGUAGCAAACAAUAUCAGUUAAUUUGCUGAUGCACUGAUGUGGUUUAUAUGAUUAUUAUUAUUAUUGUAGAUUAUUCAUUCUAUACAGAAUGAAUUUAUUUUGUUGCUUCUGUAGAAGCUAUCUUUGAAUUUAUUCACAACAAAAUAAGGUUUCAGUUUUUCUAUUCAGAUCCUAUUAUGCUAGAAUUAUGAUCUGUGUUGCAAACUAUCUUGUAUAUUAUAAUCCAUUGCAAACAAAUGGGAAAUCACUUCUGCAUCGACCACAGAAGGCCUUACGGCGCAGCUAUUGAAGUUAUCUGGUACUGAUCUGUGCAAGUAAUUUUCUUACUUAUUCCAUUAAAUACAAAAUCUUUUUGACUUGACUUCUGGAUGGAAUUCUAUCACUAAAGUAUUGGUCCCAGUGAUGAUUCAUGGUGGGUUAUGAUUCAACCAACAAUAAAAAAAUAUUAACUCCAUAUUAAUUGUGUUUA
ensembl:lncRNA